rnacentral:rRNA from 1 species
UCGAGAAUUUUUCACAAUGGACGAAAGUCUGAUGGAGCGACGCCGCGUGGAGGAUGAAGGUUUUCGGAUUGUAAACUCCUGUCACUGCAGAACAAGGAUAUGCCCGUUAACAGCGAAUGUAUUUGAUGGUAUGCGGAGAGGAAGGGACGGCUAACUCUGUGCCAGCAGCCGCGGUAAGACAGAGGUCCCGAGCGUUGUUCGGAUUCAUUGGGCGUAAAGGGUGUGUAGGAGGCUAGGUAAGUCAGGUGUGAAAUCUCAGAGCUUAACUCUGAAACUGCGCUUGAUACUGCUUGGCUAGAGGAUCGGAGGGGGUAUCGGAAUUUAUGGUGUAGCAGUGAAAUGCGUAGAUAUCAUAAGGAACACCGGUGGCGAAGGCGGAUACCUGGAAGAUUCCUGACUCUGAAACACGAAAGCCAGGGGAGCAAACGGGAUUAGAUACCCCCGUAGUCC